rnacentral:tRNA from 2 species
GCCCCUGUAGUCCAACGGCAGAGACGGCAGCAUGAGGUGCUGUGCGAUGCGGGUUCGAAUCCUGCCAGGGGUA